rnacentral:rRNA from 1 species
CCUACGAGGUGCAGCAGUGGGGAAUAUUGGACAAUGGGCGAAAGCCUGAUCCAGCCAUGCCGCGUGUGUGAAGAAGGCCUUCGGGUUGUAAAGCACUUUCAGUGGGGAAGAAAGCCUUGGGGCUAAUACCCUCGAGGAAGGACAUCACCCACAGAAGAAGCACCGGCUAACUCCGUGCCAGCAGCCGCGGUAAUACGGAGGGUGCGAGCGUUAAUCGGAAUUACUGGGCGUAAAGCGCGCGUAGGCGGUCUGAUAAGCCGGUUGUGAAAGCCCCGGGCUCAACCUGGGAACGGCAUCCGGAACUGUCAGGCUAGAGUGCAGGAGAGGAAGGUAGAAUUCCCGGUGUAGCGGUGAAAUGCGUAGAGAUCGGGAGGAAUACCAGUGGCGAAGGCGGCCUUCUGGACUGACACUGACGCUGAGGUGCGAAAGCGUGGGUAGCAAACAGGAUUAGAUACCCGUGUAGUC